UCAUUACCCUAAUCUUAACGAAAAGAUACAAAGCACUGAAAGAUUAAUUCCAAAACAACUAGAAAUCUUUCAUAAAUAAAGGAAUAUGCAUGAAAUACUUCCGAAAAAAAAAGUAAAAAAAAAAAAAAAAAAUCCAGACACAAUUUCGACAUUUCCUAGCGGGCGUAUCCUUGUACAAAUCUUACUCACGACGGUCUGUAAUGUCUCAGAAGUGUGUCUUGCUUCACAGUCCGAGGGUGCCUCUCCCCGCGCAGCAUGUCUGGGAAGAUCGUCAUGCAGUUCGUUCUUCUGUGCAUGAUGGUUUCGCUCAUUUCUAUGAACCGCGGGACCCAGUUCCCUCCGGCUCUCCCGAGGACGGGCUACCACCAGUUCCACAUCCUCGGCUGCGUCGGCGUCUGCAUGAGGAAGGGGUCGUUCGGCUGCGAAAGGGACUGGGGCUGCAUCUUCAGGCAGACGUGACGGAGACGCGGCCAGGGAAGGGUAGCGGCCGCGGUCAGGGGAGCACAAGAAGGACUCAGCUGCUAAACUUCUACUGUGACAUCAAUAAAACGAAAGAUUUUGCUUCUUCUGUCAUUAUCAAGACAGAGAGAGAGAGAGAGAGAGAGAGAGAGAGAGAGAGAAGAGAGAGAGAGAGAGAGAGAGAGAGAGAGAG